rnacentral:rRNA from 1 species
CAGUCUCAGUUCGGAUUGAAGGCUGAAAUUCGCCUUCAUGAAGCCGGAAUUGCUAGUAAUGGCAGGUCAGCAUACUGCCGUGAAUACGUUCCCGGGCCUUGUACACACCGCCCGUCACACCAUGAGAGUUGGGGAUACCCGAAGCCUGUGAGCUAACUUUUAGAGGCAGCAGUCGAAGGUGGAAUCAAUGAUUGGGGUGAAGUCGUAACAAGGUACC